GCCUCCUUCCACCUCCUCUCCCACGCCACUCACCCACCCCCGCGCCGCCGCUGGUUCCUCCGCCGCCUCCCUCCCGGCUCCAAGUACACACCAGGACACCCAGGCACGAGAGAUCACCCUACUUUCCGAUCGACAGCAGGAAAGGUCAAGCCCCGCGCACCUCGCGCGAAUCCGAUCGACCGCGGCCCAGCACCACCAGCCGCCGCCGUGGCCAAGGGGAAAGGCUCCACAUCGUCACCAUCGUCUCUACCGUCGAGGCCCUAUCGCGCCACCGCCGUCGUCGCGAUGGCCGCGUACGUCCUCACGCUCGCCGUGGCGCUCCUCCUCGGGCCCAGCUUCCCCUGCGCAUAUUCUUCAACACCAUGGGGCCAGAAGGGUCACUAAAAUGUCCAAUGGGGUGGCAAACUCAAUCCUCUCAGGUUUUCUCAAGGUCUCGUUAUUAAUAGCACUGUGGUCAACUCCAAACCUGCCCAGAAGUUCUUCAAGUUAAUGCCUGGUGAAGUUAUUCUGCUUCACUGGAUGGAUUUGGUAAGCUUUUGCCACUAGUUGUGCAUGUUACAUUCACUUGACCAAAUAUGAAGUUUAACCCCUUUUAUCUGUAUUCUUGCAUAUAAAGGCAGCUAGUAGAAUGCUCUGGUUAUCCUCUAUUUUCUGAACUUUUAAGUCAGAAGUCUAGGUUGUCAGUGAUUCUGUUCUAAAUAAAAAUGGAAUGUGUUGAUCUAAAGAUGGAUUGGGCUAAUGGCUACAUCACCAAAGCACCAGAUAGGAUGAAAUCAUACUUUGAUUUGGAUUUUUUUAUGUUCAACAUUGGGCCUUCCCAAGCAAUCCCCGGGUAUUAAGUGUACUAUUAUAGAGUGCACUGGGUUAGAUGCGUUAACUUAAGUCAAACAGUUCUAAGAGCUGCCAAUAAUUUCUGAACUUUUGAGUUGGUCUAGGUAGUUUGUGAUUCUGUUCCGAAAAAAUGGAAUUUAUUGAUCUAAAGAUGGAUCAGAUUAAUAGAGAAUAACCAAACAACCGGAUAAGAUGAAAUCAUACUGUGAUUUGGAUUUUUAUGUUUUACUGGGCCUCCUCAAGCAAAUCCCAAGUAUUUAGCGUACUACUAUUGUAGAGUACACUAGGUUAAGAUGCCUGAAUUUAAAUAAAAGUCUAAAACAAUUCUAAGAGCUAAUGUGUGAUCAGAACUAUAUUUGUAUUAGUUCAAGAGAUUUGAUAUGCGUAACCAUUGGUGCAUCACAUAUUAUUAUUAGUUGUCUCUUCGUUGCUCAAUGGUUCAGGUAAAGUAUGGGAUGCUGUUGAGGUAUCUGGCAAGAACGUGAUGCAAACAUCAUCAGUUGUCACAACUUCAGUUGUAACGCACAGGUAUGGUGACCAAGCAGGAGAGAUAACACAAAGACUACCUCCACGCCACCAUUGCGCAGACGAUCGUCCAGGUGAUUGCGACGCCGGAGGUCGUCGAGGUGGAGGACCUCGAUGCCAAUGCCACCGUCCGGGAGAAGGGAGGGUUCGGGUCCACCGGAGUUUGAACUCCGAGGCUUGGUAGAUACAUCUAGAGAAGUGGUCUUGUUGUUUGAGUCUGAUGUUAAAUGGGAUCUCGUGAUCUCUUUGAGUUGAGAUGUUCAAUGUUACAUCCAUGAACGCUGCAAGUGCUAAGAUGGUUAUGUGACCUUUGCACUAGACUGUCUUGAUUUCCA